GACGAACGCUGGCGGCGUGCUUAACACAUGCAAGUCGAACGGAAAGGCCCUGCUUGCGGGGUACUCGAGUGGCGAACGGGUGAGUAACACGUGGGUGAUCUGCGCUGUACUUCUUGAUAAGACUGGGAAACUGGGUCUCAUAUCGGAGAUAGGCCAUUCUUCUUGUUGGUGUUGGUAAGUUUUUUCGGUGUAGGAUGAGAUCGCGGCCUAUCAGCUUGUUGGUGGGGUAAUGGCCUACCAAGGCGGCGACUGGUAGCCGGCCGGAGAGGGUGGACGGGCACAUUGGGGCUGGGAUUCGGGCCAGACUCCUACGGGAGGCAGGAGUGGGGAAUAUUGGCAAAUGGGGCGAAGCCUGAUGGAGCGAAGCCGGGUGGGGGAUGACGGCCUUCGGGUUGUAAACUCCUUUCGCCAGGGAAGAAGCUUUUUGUGACGGUAAUUAGAUAAGAAGCACCGGCUAACUACGUG
rnacentral:rRNA from 1 species